GUACUAAGGUAGCAUAAUCAAUUGUCUUUUAAUUGAAGAAUGGAAUGAAAGAAUUAAUGAAAUAUAUACUGUCUCAAUUAUAAAAAUUAAUUUAAAUUUUUAGUUAAAAUGCUAAAUUUAAAUUAUGGGACGAUAAGACCCUAUAGAAUUUUAUAUUAAAUUAUUUAUAAUAAUUAAUUAUUAAAUUGUUAUAAAUAAUUUAAUAUUUAAUUGGGAGGAUUUAUAAAUUUAAUAAACUUUAUAUUAAUAAUUAAACUUUGAUUUAAGAAAAUUUAAUUUGAUAUAGUAGUAUUAAUUAGGAAAAAAAAUUACCUUAGGGAUAACAGCGUAAUAUCUUUUUAAAGUACAAAUUAAUAA
rnacentral:rRNA from 1 species